rnacentral:misc_RNA from 1 species
GAUAAGAAGAUCCUGAGAGAGGUCAGUUCUCUAUUUCUUUUGUUCAUUUUUCAUUCUCUUGAAUGUAGGAUUUGAUUGAUGGGGAUACAACCUUAAGCUCAAGUUUGCCUGGACAAUUAUACAUCCAUACGAGUUGAUUGCUUUUAGCGCCUCUAAUACUGAAGUUGCCAUUUAUUUGAUACCUCCUAAGUUUUAUCUGCUUUUGAAUGCUGUUGACAAAUCAAUUUCGGGUUCAUACAAUUUUCAUUUCAUGUGGUAAAUAUGAAUUGUUUCUUUAUCUUCUGUCUUGAAGGUUGCAAAAAUGCUUUGUUUACAUGAGGCAGCAGUUCUUCCGAAACGAGCAAUCCAGGUUUGUGUUAUUUCUAUUUAAGAAUGUUCACCAAGCUUUUCUAGGAUAGGAUAGAUUCUGUGUUAAAUUUUUGCCAAAGCAAUUAUUUUUGGCUAUAAUUUGUAGGAAGAAAAGCAAAAUGAAUCUUCA